UACGGGGGGGGCAAGCGUUGUUCGGAAUUACUGGGCGUAAAGGGCGCGUAGGCGGUCUUGCAAGUCCUGUGUGAAAUCCCUCGGCUCAACUGAGGAACUGCACAGGAAACUGCUUGGCUUGAGUUCGGGAGAGGGAAGCGGAAUUCCGGGUGUAGCGGUGAAAUGCGUAGAUAUCCGGAGGAACACCGGUGGCGAAGGCGGCUUCCUGGACCGACACUGACGCUGAGGCGCGAAAGCUAGGGGAGCAAACGGG
rnacentral:rRNA from 1 species